AAUGAACGCUGGCGGCAUGCCUUACACAUGCAAGUCGAACGGCAGCAUGACCUAGCUUGCUAGGUUGAUGUCGAGUGGCGAACGGGUGAGUAAUGCAUCGGAACGUGCCUUUUAGUGGGGGAGAACGUAGCGAAAGUUACGCUAAUACCGCAUAUUCUCUGAGGAGGAAAGCAGGGGACCUUCGGGCCUUUCGCUAGAAGAGCGGCGGAUGUCGGAUUAGCUAGUUGGUGAGGUAAAGGCUCACCAAGGCAACGAUCCGUAGCGGGUCUGAGAGGAUGAUCAGCCACACUGGAACUGAGACACGGCCCAGACUCCUACGGGAGGCAGCAGUGGGGAAUUUUGGACAAUGGGCGCAAGCCUGAUCCAGCCAUGCCGCGUGAGUGAAGAAGGCCUUCGGGUUGUAAAGCUCUUUCGGCUGGGAAGAAAUCGCACCCUCUAAUACAGGGUGUGGAUGACGGUACCAGCAUAAGAAGCACCGGCUAACUACGUG
rnacentral:rRNA from 1 species